GAAUUUGAUUUGAUAACAAAAUAAUUUUUUUCAAAGUACUAGUGCCCGGUUUCAGAAGUGUCGACUUAAGCUUAACUAAACUAGCCUCUCAUAGCUAGCAAAACAGAACACGAAUCCAUUGAAAAGAACAUGAAUUACAAACUGAUUCUUGGAAGGCAAAGUUCUUCAAGUCGUCCGAUUUCCCUUCUCCUAAUUAGCUGAAUUUUCUAGCUGCUACUCUAGCUCCUUGAUCGGAUUUGCUGGCCCAAUUUUUAGAAAAUUCUGCUUGCUUGAAUCACGCCUUUCCUAUGCUGCUGUUCUUUCUCUAAAUUUUUUUCUCUUCUCCCCUUUUCUUCAGCUGCUAUCAUCUCUAUUUAUGGGAUAAUAACCUCCAAUCAAUUCAAAAAUUAAAAUCAAUCUUAUCCCCCUUUUCCUUAGCCUUACCCGUCGCAUGAAAAUAGCUUCAGCUUAGUAGAGUUUUAAUUCAACUCUUCAAUGCUGAUUUGGCUUCCAAUUGUUUAAACUAGAGUCGGCCACC
rnacentral:lncRNA from 1 species